UCCGUUGGUGAACCAGCGGAGGGAUCAUUACUGAGUUACCGCUCUACAACCCUUUGUGAACAUACCUAACCGUUGCUUCGGCGGGCAGGGGAAGCCUCUCGCGGGCCUCCCCUCCCGGCGCCGGCCCCACCACGGGGACGGGGCGCCCGCCGGAGGAAACCAAACUCUAUUUACACGACGUCUCUUCUGAGUGGCACAAGCAAAUAAUUAAAACUUUUAACAACGGAUCUCUUGGUUCUGGCAUCGAUGAAGAACGCAGCGAAAUGCGAUAAGUAAUGUGAAUUGCAGAAUUCAGUGAAUCAUCGAAUCUUUGAACGCACAUUGCGCUCGCCAGCAUUCUGGCGAGCAUGCCUGUUCGAGCGUCAUUUCAACCCUCAAGCACCGCUUGGUUUUGGGGCCCCACGGCAGACGUGGGCCCUUAAAGGUAGUGGCGGACCCUCCCGGAGCCUCCUUUGCGUAGUAACUAACGUCUCGCACUGGGAUCCGGAGGGACUCUUGCCGUAAAACCCCCAAAUUCUUUACAGGUUGACCUCGGAUCAGGUAGGAAUACCCGCUGAACUUAAGCA
rnacentral:rRNA from 1 species